CCGUGGCCUAUACCGGUUAUACCACGUAGCGUAAAAUAUCGGAGUCACUUAAAUUACCGACUCCUCUUAAUAAAAAGGCCCGUGUUAACAUUUUUUCGGACGGUGGGCUUGAAUUCUUAUUAUUUUUCUUGUUGGAUUUAUUAUCAUUUUUCUGGAGUGUUGUAAAACAGUAAAUGAUUUAAUUGUUCAAAUCAAACUUUGUUAGACCUAUUUACCAACAAUAUCGAUUCGGUACUAUAUCAAGAUCGUACCAGGUGCCUAAUAAAUUUACUACCAAACGUUUCUGUAAGUUAUAUUAAUUUAUUGUCGUGUGUUUUAGAAAAUAAC